AAAAAAUCAACACAUUACACGAGUUCGAGCUCUCUUUCUUCUGCCAGCCGAGAGAUAUAAUAUAAUUUAAUAUGAUAUAACAUUUUACUUUGCUUUUUCCUUUUUUUUCUCUUUUUCCCUUUUGUUGUUUUAAUCGAAACAAACUUUACAGUGUUUAGCAAAUAAAAAUUCAAAAUGGUUCUUGAAUCAAGCAUCUUUAAUUGCUACCCUCCUAGCUUGCUUGUACCCAAUUUGGCUCUGGCUUCUGUCGACGGCUUUCUUGCUCUUGUUGCGUUCUAUCAGGUUUGAUUUAAAUACCCUUUUGCUUAUUUUUCAUAAUGGUGUUGUUUUCAUUUUAAAUUUUUUGCCAUUUUUUUUUUUUUCUUUUGACGGGAGGUUGGUAAUAUCGUUGAAUUGAAUUUGAUUUAUGAGGUGAUCCAAUUGUGGUAUAUUUCCUGUGGCUAAUCAAUUGAUGGGAUAUAACCUUUUGUGAUCUUGGGUUGUAUUUGAAUGUGAAAAGAUGGUGUGUAUUGUUUGCAUUUGUCGGUGGGAGCUCUGUUAUGUGUUUGGUUGAUGAGAAAAUGCCGGGAGAAGAUAAAAUGAAUUUGGGAUUUUACAGCCAUUUGGGGUUAAAAACUUGGAACUCUCUGCUUUAGAUUGUUGGAAAUUCAUGCCAGAAAAUGGUUAAUGAAAGAUUGAAUUGUUGAGGGAUUAAUUAAACGUGUCAAUUUGAUAUUAGUGUUGACUGUCUGGUAGAAGUUUUGAGAUAUAUGUUUUUUUUUUAAUUUUUCAUCUUAUUGUGUCUUCCAAGACUGUAAUUGUAGUUGAUACUAUCAUACUACUAUACUAAUUUGUGUUGAAGAAUAUUUAUUGCUAAUAUUCAUUUAACUGAGUUAAUCUCUUGACCCGAGAGCCUCAAAUUAUAAGUCAUCAGUUGUUCUCUCUGCACUUCCUCAUAGUGUGAUUUGUAUAAAUCCUGAAAGAACAUUAUACUUUUGCCAAUGGCUCGUGGAUAUUCUCUAGGUGAUAUUUUGAGACAUCAAAUGUGUAUGCUUGUUUUGCACAGAAGUAUUCUCGUGUGAAGCCCUUUUCCUUGUUAGGUUUAGCUUGAGUCACUGAUGAUUAACUAAUGGUUGCUUGGUAUGUUGAUGACUUUAUACAUGAAAAAGGAUUUUCUUAUUUGAUUCUUUGUUUGGUACUUACAAGUGAGCCAUUUUGUCAUUGCAG
rnacentral:lncRNA from 1 species